CUACGGGAGGCAGCAGUGAGGAAUAUUGGUCCAUGGGAGAGAUCCUGAACCAGCCAAGCCGCGUGAGGGAAGACGGCCCUAUGGGUUGUAAACCUCUUUUGUCGGAGAACAAAACCCGGGACGAGUCCCGGACUGCGUGUAUCCGAAGAAAAAGCAUCGGCUAACUCCGUGCCAGCAGCCGCGGUAAUACGGAGGAUGCGAGCGUUAUCCGGAUUUAUUGGGUUUAAAGGGUGCGUAGGCGGUCCGUUAAGUCAGCGGUAAAAUUGCGGGGCUCAACCCCGUCGAGCCGUUGAAACUGGCAGACU
rnacentral:rRNA from 1 species